rnacentral:rRNA from 1 species
AACGCGAAGAACCUUACCAAGGCUUGACAUGCAUUAGAUCGCGUCAGAGAUGGCGUUUCCCUUCGGGGCUGGUGUACAGGUGGUGCAUGGUUGUCGUCAGCUCGUGUCGUGAGAUGUUGGGUUAAGUCCCGCAACGAGCGCAACCCUCGUUCUAUGUUGCCAGCGGUUCGGCCGGGGACUCAUAGGAGACUGCCGGGGUCAACUCGGAGGAAGGUGGGGAUGACGUCAAAUCAUCAUGCCCCUUAUGUCUUGGGCUUCACGCAUGCUACAAUGGCCGGUACAGAGGGUUGCGAUACUGUGAGGUGGAGCUAAUCCCUUAAAGCCGGUCUCGUUCGGAUUGGGGUCUGCAACUCGACCCCAUGAAGUCGGAGUCGCUAGUAAUCGCAGAUCAGCA